CACACUAUCAUUAACUGAAUCCAUAGGUUAAUGAGGCGAACCGGGGGAACUGAAACAUCUAAGUACCCCGAGGAAAAGAAAUCAACCGAGAUUCCCCCAGUAGCGGCGAGCGAACGGGGAGGAGCCCAGAGCCUGAAUCAGUGUGUGUGUUAGUGGAAGCGUCUGGAAAGGCGCGCGAUACAGGGUGACAGCCCCGUACACAAAAAUGCACAUACUGUGAGCUCGAUGAGUAGGGCGGGACACGUGGUAUCCUGUCUGAAUAUGGGGGGACCAUCCUCCAAGGCUAAAUACUCCUGACUGACCGAUAGUGAACCAGUACCGUGAGGGAAAGGCGAAAAGAACCCCGGCGAGGGGAGUGAAAAAGAACCUGAAACCGUGUACGUACAAGCAGUGGGAGCCUCUUUAUGGGGUGACUGCGUACCUUUUGUAUAAUGGGUCAGCGACUUAUAUUCUGUAGCAAGGUUAACCGAAUAGGGGAGCCGAAGGGAAACCGAGUCUUAACUGGGCGUUAAGUUGCAGGGUAUAGACCCGAAACCCGGUGAUCUAGCCAUGGGCAGGUUGAAGGUUGGGUAACACUAACUGGAGGACCGAACCGACUAAUGUUGAAAAAUUAGCGGAUGACUUGUGGCUGGGGGUGAAAGGCCAAUCAAACCGGGAGAUAGCUGGUUCUCCCCGAAAGCUAUUUAGGUAGCGCCUCGUGAAUUCAUCUCCGGGGGUAGAGCACUGUUUCGGCAAGGGGGUCAUCCCGACUUACCAACCCGAUGCAAACUGCGAAUACCGGAGAAUGUUAUCACGGGAGACACACGGCGGGUGCUAACGUCCGUCGUGAAGAGGGAAACAACCCAGACCGCCAGCUAAGGUCCCAAAGUCAUGGUUAAGUGGGAAACGAUGUGGGAAGGCCCAGACAGCCAGGAUGUUGGCUUAGAAGCAGCCAUCAUUUAAAGAAAGCGUAAUAGCUCACUGGUCGAGUCGGCCUGCGCGGAAGAUGUAACGGGGCUAAACCAUGCACCGAAGCUGCGGCAGCGACACUAUGUGUUGUUGGGUAGGGGAGCGUUCUGUAAGCCUGCGAAGGUGUACUGUGAGGUAUGCUGGAGGUAUCAGAAGUGCGAAUGCUGACAUAAGUAACGAUAAAGCGGGUGAAAAGCCCGCUCGCCGGAAGACCAAGGGUUCCUGUCCAACGUUAAUCGGGGCAGGGUGAGUCGACCCCUAAGGCGAGGCCGAAAGGCGUAGUCGAUGGGAAACAGGUUAAUAUUCCUGUACUUGGUGUUACUGCGAAGGGGGGACGGAGAAGGCUAUGUUGGCCGGGCGACGGUUGUCCCGGUUUAAGCGUGUAGGCUGGUUUUCCAGGCAAAUCCGGAAAAUCAAGGCUGAGGCGUGAUGACGAGGCACUACGGUGCUGAAGCAACAAAUGCCCUGCUUCCAGGAAAAGCCUCUAAGCAUCAGGUAACAUCAAAUCGUACCCCAAACCGACACAGGUGGUCAGGUAGAGAAUACCAAGGCGCUUGAGAGAACUCGGGUGAAGGAACUAGGCAAAAUGGUGCCGUAACUUCGGGAGAAGGCACGCUGAUAUGUAGGUGAAGCGACUUGCUCGUGGAGCUGAAAUCAGUCGAAGAUACCAGCUGGCUGCAACUGUUUAUUAAAAACACAGCACUGUGCAAACACGAAAGUGGACGUAUACGGUGUGACGCCUGCCCGGUGCCGGAAGGUUAAUUGAUGGGGUUAGCGGUAACGCGAAGCUCUUGAUCGAAGCCCCGGUAAACGGCGGCCGUAACUAUAACGGUCCUAAGGUAGCGAAAUUCCUUGUCGGGUAAGUUCCGACCUGCACGAAUGGCGUAAUGAUGGCCAGGCUGUCUCCACCCGAGACUCAGUGAAAUUGAACUCGCUGUGAAGAUGCAGUGUACCCGCGGCAAGACGGAAAGACCCCGUGAACCUUUACUAUAGCUUGACACUGAACAUUGAGCCUUGAUGUGUAGGAUAGGUGGGAGGCUUUGAAGUGUGGACGCCAGUCUGCAUGGAGCCGGCCUUGAAAUACCACCCUUUAAUGUUUGAUGUUCUAACGUUGGCCCCUGACCGGGGUUGCGGACAGUGUCUGGUGGGUAGUUUGACUGGGGCGGUCUCCUCCUAAAGAGUAACGGAGGAGCACGAAGGUUGGCUAAUCCUGGUCGGACAUCAGGAGGUUAGUGCAAUGGCAUAAGCCAGCUUGACUGCGAGCGUGACGGCGCGAGCAGGUGCGAAAGCAGGUCAUAGUGAUCCGGUGGUUCUGAAUGGAAGGGCCAUCGCUCAACGGAUAAAAGGUACUCCGGGGAUAACAGGCUGAUACCGCCCAAGAGUUCAUAUCGACGGCGGUGUUUGGCACCUCGAUGUCGGCUCAUCACAUCCUGGGGCUGAAGUAGGUCCCAAGGGUAUGGCUGUUCGCCAUUUAAAGUGGUACGCGAGCUGGGUUUAGAACGUCGUGAGACAGUUCGGUCCCUAUCUGCCGUGGGCGCUGGAGAACUGAGGGGGGCUGCUCCUAGUACGAGAGGACCGGAGUGGACGCAUCACUGGUGUUCGGGUUGUCAUGCCAAUGGCACUGCCCGGUAGCUAAAUGCGGAAGAGAUAAGUGCUGAAAGCAUCUAAGCACGAAACUUGCCCCGAGAUGAGUUCUCCCUGACUCCUUGAGAGUCCUGAAGGAACGUUGAAGACGACGACGUUGAUAGGCCGGGUGUGUAAGCGCAGCGAUGCGUUGAGCUAACCGGUACUAAUGAACCGUGAGGCUUAACCUUACAACGCCGAAG
rnacentral:rRNA from 1 species